rnacentral:lncRNA from 1 species
AACUUGAUGCAGCCACCGCCAUGCUUGAGAAUAUGAUAGACCACUGCACCACUCUGCAAACUAAGGCACUGCAUCGCAGUUGCUAGCUGUGCCACUAGAGAUCCUGGUUCGAGUUCAGGCUCUGUCGCAGCCGGCCGCGACGGGGAGACACGUGGGGCGGCGCACAAUUGGCCCAGCGUCGUCCGGGUUAGGGGAGGGUUUGGCCGGCAGGGAUGUCCUUGUCCCAUCGCGCUCUAGCUACUCCUGUGGCGAGCCGGGCGCAGUGCACGCUGACACGGUCGCCAGGUGUAUGGCGUUUCCUCCGACACAUUGGUGUGGCUGACUUCCUUAGUUAAGAGGGCAUUGUGUCAAGAAGCUGUGCGGCUUGGUUGGGUCGUGUGUCAAGAAGCAUGGCUCUCGAGCCUCGCCCGAGUCCGUACGGGAGUUGCAGCGAUGAGACAAGACUAACUGCCAAUUGGAUAUCACGAAAUUGGUGAGAAAAAGGGGUAAACGUAAUUAAAAAAAAAAUGUAAACCUUGACGAGUGGUACUCAGUGAUGUGUUGUGUUUGUCUCAAACAAAAAAAGAAUUUCUUUGUCACAUUUUUUGCAGUUUUACUUUUUGCCUUACUGCAAACAGGAAGCACGUUUUGGAAUACUUUUAUUCUGUACAGGAUUAUUUUUUUUCACUCCGUCAAUUAGGUUAGUAUUGUGGAGUAAUUACAAUGUUGUUGAUCCAUCCUCAGAGUUAUUAAUGGUUAUGAUAGGAGAACUAACUAUUUUAAAGUCACAAUUGGCUUCAUGGUGAAAUCCCUGAGCCGUUUCCUUCCUCCCCAGCACCUGAGUUAGGAAGGACACCUGUUACUUUGUAGUGACUGGGUGUAUUGAUAAACCAUCCAAAAGUGUCAUUAAAAACUUCACAACGCUCAAAGAGAUAUUCAAAGUCUGCUUGUUUAGCUAUACCUUUGAGCAUGGUGAAGUUAUUAAUUACACUUUGGAUGGUGUAUCAAUACACCCAGUCACUACAAAUAUUCCGGCAUCUACGUUAGGAAGGUGUAAGGUAGGAAACCGCUCAGGGAUUUCACAAUGACGCCAAUGGUGACAUUAAAACAGUUAGUUUAAUGGCUGUGAUAGAAUAGGAGGAUGGAUCAACAACAUUGUAGUUACUCCACAAUACUAACCUAAAUGACAGAGUGAAAAGGACAAAGCCUCUACAGAAUAAUACAAAUAUUCCAAAACAGGCACCAAAUUUAAACUGGAAAAAAUGUGGCAAAGAAAUUAACUUUAUGUCCUGAAUACAAAGCUUUAUGUUUGGGGUAAAUCCAACACAACACAGCACUGAGUACCACUCAUCAUAUUUCCAAGAAUGGUGUUGGCUGCAGUUUAUGGGUAUGUAUGCUUGUCAUCAGCAAGGACUGGGGAGUUUUUCCAGGUUAAAAAAUAAACGGAAUAGAGUUAAGCACCGGCAAAAUCCUAGAGGAAAACCUGGUUCAGUCUGCUUUCCACCAGACACUGGGAUAUUAAUUCACCUUUCAGCAGGACAAUAACCUAAAACACAAGGCCAAAUCUACACCGGAGUUGCUUACCAAGAGAACAUUAAAU